GCAGGUAGGGUGGCUGGAGGUGGAGCAGUGUUGUCGGGAUUGCAGGCUGUGUUUCCAGCAGCGGUGUUGGCAGAGCAGCAAAUGCAAUAGCCUGUAAAGAAAGAAGAGGGAAGCAGAGGGCAGCUGAGAGCUUUGCCCAAGGAGGACAGAGUGAAUUUACUGCCCCUGUGCCCCCAUCCAGCACCACUGGGAAUUCAGUUUGAAACAGGAAAAGAAAAAGGAACAAGGACCUUCACAGGGCCUUUGAGCAGAGGAAAAUAGAGCCUCUCUUCCCAGAGAUUGAUGUUCGUAGCAGUGCCAAACAGGUGUUCCUUCCCUCCACCUCUGGCUACCACAUCACUCUCAGAAGAGCGUGCAUGGAAAGAAGCCAUUCCUGAAGCAGGAUUGCCUUUGAGCUGGCAGCAGAUGAGUGACUGGCAUUGGGCAGCACUGCUGAGGCUCUGGCAGGCCGUUUAGCAGAGAACCUUGGCUAAUGAAUGUCAUCCACACCUAACAGAUGUGCCACUGCCUGCCAUGCCAGAUUUUUGACAUAAUACAGGGCUGCUGGACAUGAUGGUGCUUGGGAAAAGCCACGAAGUGACUUGUGCCUACAACGCAGUGUUCAGUCCCACCCGUGCUCUGCGAGAGAAACCAAACCUGCGGGAGGGAGGGAAGCACAUCCAUGUCUCUCACUCCUCACCCCUGGUUUUAUCGAUACAGAUAUACAAGGCAAACCAAAGGUUUCGGCUGCUAUUCAGUGCCUCCUCAUUUGUCCUGGAGCCGUAACAGUGGUGCCCUUUCUCUUCUGGCUGCUUUUCCCUGCUUCUGGAGCAGCAGUUAUGGGAGAAGCAGAUGGCUACUGAUUGGGUGAGCUUUGUGGCUUUAAUACUGAAUACUUUAUGGAAAAGGACUUUAUCAUGCUUGGUUGGUCAGAGGAACAACGGGAUGAGAUUUAUGACUACAGAAAAUAAAUCUUUUUAAGUUUCAGGCUCCUUCACACAC